CUAGCUUUACCACCACAUUUGGUCCUGCUUUAGUUCUCACCCUGAUAUCCUUAAUGAUUUCUGAGUUAGCAGAACAUUCUCUACGAUAUUUCUUCCCUUCACGAAACCAGCCCGCUCCUCUGAGAUUAUGUUUGGUAAUAGUUCCCCCAACCUUUCAUGAAUGACACUUGAGAAAAUCUUGUUAACAAAGUUACUAAGACUGAUAGGUCUCAAGUCUGCGAAAUUAAUC
rnacentral:lncRNA from 1 species